rnacentral:rRNA from 1 species
UACGGAGGAGGCAAGCGUUAUCCGGAAUUAUUGGGCGUAAAGCGUCCGUAGGUGGCUAGUCAAGUCUGCGGUCAAAGACUGGGGCUUAACCCUGGAAAGGCCGUGGAAACUGACGAGCUAGAGUGCAGUAGGGGUAGAGGGAAUUCCUGGUGUAGCGGUGAAAUGCGCAGAUAUCAGGAAGAACACCCGUGGCGAAGGCGGUUCUCUGGGACGGUACUGACGCUGAGACGCGAAAGCGUGGGGAGCGAACAGG